rnacentral:rRNA from 1 species
GAUGAACGCUAACUACAGGCUUAACACAUGCAAGUCGAGGGGUAGCAGGGUAGCAAUACCGCUGACGACCGGCGCACGGGUGAGUAACACGUAUCCAACCUUCCCAUAACUCGGGGAUAGCCUUUCGAAAGAAAGAUUAAUACCCGAUAGUACUUUUUCAAGGCAUCUUGAGAAAGUUAAAGAUUUAUUGGUUAUGGAUGGGGAUGCGUUCCAUUAGAUAGUUGGUGAGGUAACGGCUCACCAAGUCUUCGAUGGAUAGGGGUUCUGAGAGGAAGGUCCCACACAUUGGUACUGAGACACGGACCAAACUCCUAUGGGAGGCAGCAGUGAGGAAUAUUGGUCAAUGGGCGAGAGCCUGAACCAGCCAAGUAGCGUGAAGGAUGAAGGUCCUAUGGAUUGUAAACUUCUUUUAUAGUAGAAUAAAGUGACCUACGUGUAGGUUUUUGUAUGUAUACUAUGAAUAAGGAUCGGCUAACUCCGUGCCAGCCGCCGCCGUAA